AUAGGACCCUCCAAGCUCAUUGUUUGGGGCCCUGGGUCUGAACCACGCCCUGAGCAACUAGGUCCUGAACUUCCUGAUGGGUCUUCCCCAGUUGUUGAAGUUGACCUGGACCGUCUGUAUGAUGACGUGAAGCGCUACAGCUGUACACCUCGGAACUACUCUGUCAACCUGAGGGAGGAGCUGAGGGCCACCAACGCCGUGUUCUUCCCACGAUGCCUACUGGUGCAGCGCUGUGGGGGGAACUGUGCCUGUGGGACGGACAACUGGAACGGCUGUACCUGCCGCCCGGCCAAGACCAGUGACAAACUACACGAGGUGUUGAAGUAUGCUCCUGAGGUGGGAGGUUAUUCACGGCGUCAGACAGUUCGUGUCAGCUGGGCCCUAGCGGAGGUCCACUUGACGCACCACGAGCGCUGUGACUGUGUUUGUCCCUCCAGGCCACCCCGCUGAGAGACAAUGGGACAGGGGGACACAGCUCUGGGACUAACUGCUGUUUAUAUCUCCAUCUCUCUCUCUCUGUAGCACUCCACUGCUAACCACAUACCAACCUGUUACAAACCUAGUCACCAACAACCAUCCAUACCCCCUCUUUUGGUCAUGAUUCCCCAAACUGUGUCCUGCUUCCACCCAGCCAAAACCCAAAUGUACCCCACCCUCUCCACUACCAGCUCAUGAACCCCCCCCCCCCACUGUCUGAGCACUGAGAUAUGUCUCCCCUCAGUGUCCGAGCCCCCAACAUGGCUGACCCACUGAGGUAUGACCCCCCCCCCCAAUCACGGUCCGAGCCCCCAACAUGGCUGAUCCACUGAGGUAUGACCCCCCCCCCCCACUGCCCUCCCCCCCAACAUGGCUGAUCCACUGAUGUAUGACCCCCCACUACCCGAGCCCCCGACAUGGCUGAUUCACUGAGGCAUGA